GACAGAGGUUGCAAGCGUUGUUCGGAAUUACUGGGCAUAAAGCGCACGUAGGCGGUCCGCUAAGUCAGGUGUGAAAUCCCCCGGCUCAACCGGGGAAUUGCGUCUGAUACUGGCGGGCUCGAGAUCGGUAGGGGUGAGCGGAACUCCAGGUGGAGCGGUGAAAUGCGUAGAUAUCUGGAGGAACACCGGUGGCGAAAGCGGCUCACUGGAUCGACACUGACGCUGAGGUGCGAAAGCUAGGGUAGCAAACGGG
rnacentral:rRNA from 1 species